UACGUAGGGGGCAAGCGUUGUCCGGAUUUAUUGGGCGUAAAGAGCGUGUAGGCGGCUAGGUAGGUCCGUUGUGAAAACUCGAGGCUCAACUUCGAGACGUCGAUGGAAACCAUCUAGCUAGAGUCCGGAAGAGGAGAGUGGAAUUCCUGGUGUAGCGGUGAAAUGCGCAGAUAUCAGGAAGAACACCCGUGGCGAAGGCGGCUCUCUGGUACGUGACUGACGCUGAGACGCGAAAGCGUGGGGAGCGAACAGG
rnacentral:rRNA from 1 species